GGUUGACCUCGGAUCAGGUAGGGAUACCCGCUGAACUUAAGCAUAUCAAUAAGCGGAGGAAAAGAAACCAACAGGGAUUGCCCCAGUAACGGCGAGUGAAGCGGCAAGAGCUCAAAUUUGAAAGCUGGCUCCUUCGGGGUCCGCAUUGUAAUUUGCAGAGGAUGUUUCGGGAGCGGCUCCCAUCUAAGUGUCCUGGAACGGACCGUCAUAGAGGGUGAGAAUCCCGUAU
rnacentral:rRNA from 1 species